CAAUAGCGUAUAUUAAAGUUGUUGCGGUUAAAAAGCUCGUAGUUGGAUUUCUGCUGAGAACGACCGGUCCGCCCUUUGGGUGUGUAUCUGGCUCUUUCUUGGCAUCUUCUUGGUGAACGUUGCUGCACUUGACUGUGUGGAGCGCUACCCAGGACUUUUACUUUGAGGAAAUUAGAGUGUUUCAAGCAGGCAUACGCCUUGAAUACAUUAGCAUGGAAUAAUAAGAUAGGACCUCGGUUCUAUUUUGUUGGUUUCUAGAGCUGAGGUAAUGAUUAAUAGGGAUAGUUGGGGGCAUUCGUAUUUAACUGUCAGAGGUGAAAUUCUUGGAUUUGUUAAAGACGGACUACUGCGAANGNAUUUGCNAAGGAUGUUUNCAUUA
rnacentral:rRNA from 1 species